GUUCAAAGAGACCGUUUCACAAUUAGGGAGAGGUGAUGUAGACUAUUGUACUUGUACUUGUUUUCGACUAAUGUUUCUUAUCAAUUUGAGAAUUAUGGGGAUUCGCGAGACGAGUCAGCUGCUCUGCGAUUACUGCUGUCAAACGUGUUUCAAUUGCCUUUGAAUUACGGUCUUCAAUGCUGGAUUACUCAUCUCAUUUGUUCGCGGUUUAUCUACUUGGACUGUUUAUUCAUUUUCUCUUGCGGAUGCUGUGUUAGUACUUGAUAAUUAUACUCCUUUGUUUGGGUUCACGUCAAACCGGUCAUAUAUCGGGUUCAGAGGAAAUCUUACCCCAUUUUUCUGCUUAUGGAAUUCAGAAUUUCCCUGAUGAUUGUGUUAUAAAUUUUUUUGUGUAAUUUUCACACGUAAAUUUAAUCGGAAAAUUGUAAAAACGCAAUUGACUCGUGAAGGAGGGGAUGAGCUGUUUUAUCGACAUUUUUAUGCACAACGAAUGAUUGUUUAUACAUUAGAACAUUAAUUAUUCAUUUAAUUCACUCGGGGUUUUCAAUGGGAAAAAAAUGCGCGGUAAUUUUUGUAGGGAAUAUUAUUACGAUUAUUAAUAAAUUCAGUUUGUACAGUUUGUAGUUACUUUAUUAUCACGUUCCUUGUUUUAUCAUGAAAAUUACAAUUGACAGGAAAUUUUUUUGUCGUGUACAGGUCUUUGUUGUUUUAUCCUCAAAAAUCGACUAGUCUGCCAACAAAUGUGUCACCUUCUGAUUCAUAUGUAAAAUGCAGUAGAUCGGAGUAGAGCAACUCCCCUUCAAUUAUCAAUAUUUUGAAAACUAGUAAAAGAAACUCGAAGAAGCUGAACAUAAUGUUCACAGAUUUAAAUGAGAACGCAUGUGAGAAGAAAUCUCUAGAAAAACUUAGUGAUAAAAUUCUUAUUGGGAUUCUAUUGAAAUUCUACAGAAUUCUCGUUAGAAUUCUAUUAAUUUUUCGAUAAGAAAAAGUCAACGAAUUGUAAUUUUUCUGUUUAAAUGAAUCUCCCAAGAUGUUAUCUCUUAAAUUUACUGAGUGCAGAUUUUAUAAAUGAUUUUUAUUGAAAAAUCUAUUGACUUCUCCUCACCGAAUUUAUGAGAAAUUCAAGAGUGCUUUAAAGGAAGGACAAGGAAUUUCUCUUGAAUUUUAUCAAAAGUGAAAUGUACAGCUUCUCAACAGAUUCCGAAGCAUCAAUGAACGAGAAAAAUCAAUAGACUCAUCAAUAAAUUCUGCAAAUACUUAAUCAAUUACACAGAUUGGCACUCAAUGCGAAACAACUGUGGGAAAAUAAUUCACUCAUCGAUCAUACAAUAACCUCAAUAUUUCCACCAGUCCUAAACAAUCCCAGAAUAUUGUAGUUGACAUUAAUUAUUUUGAAUUUGCAUCAAUA